AGUGAACGCUGGCGGUAGGCCUAACACAUGCAAGUCGAACGGCAGCACAGUAAGAGCUUGCUCUUACGGGUGGCGAGUGGCGGACGGGUGAGGAAUACAUCGGAAUCUACUUUUUCGUGGGGGAUAACGUAGGGAAACUUACGCUAAUACCGCAUACGACCUACGGGUGAAAGCAGGGGAUCUUCGGACCUUGCGCGAUUGAAUGAGCCGAUGUCGGAUUAGCUAGUUGGCGGGGUAAAGGCCCACCAAGGCGACGAUCCGUAGCUGGUCUGAGAGGAUGAUCAGCCACACUGGAACUGCGACACGGUCCAGACUCCUACGGGAGGCAGCAGUGGGGAAUAUUGGACAAUGGGCGCAAGCCUGAUCCAGCCAGACCGCGUGGGUGAAGAAGGCCUUCGGGUUGUAAAGCCCUUUUGUUGGGAAAGAAAAGCAGCAGGUUAAUACCCCGCUGUUCUGACGGUACCCAAAGAAUAAGCACCGGCUAACUUCGUG
rnacentral:rRNA from 1 species